rnacentral:tRNA from 1 species
GCCUCCGUGGCUUAGUGGCUAUAGCGUCCGCCUCGUAAGCGGAAAGUCGCGGGUCCAAUUCCCGCCGGAGGCUCCA